rnacentral:rRNA from 1 species
AUGAAGAGCCUAGUGACUGAGCGGCGGACGGGUGAGUAACGCGUGGGUAACCUGCCUCAUACAGGGGGAUAACAGUUAGAAAUGACUGCUAAUACCGCAUAAGGCCGCAGCACCGCAUGAAGCAGUGUGAAAAACUCCGGUGGUACAAGAUGGACCCGCGUCUGAUUAGCUGGUUGGUGAGGUAACGGCCCACCAAGGCGACGAUCAGUAGCCGGCCUGAGAGGGUGAACGGCCACAUUGGGACUGAGACACGGCCCAGACUCC